rnacentral:rRNA from 1 species
GGGUUGUGAGGUUAAGCGACUAAGCGUACACGGUGGAUGCCCUGGCAGUCAGAGGCGAUGAAGGACGUGCUAAUCUGCGAUAAGCGCCGGUAAGGUGAUAUGAACCGUUAUAACCGGCGAUUUCCGAAUGGGGAAACCCAGUGUGACUCGUCACACUAUCAUUAACUGAAUCCAUAGGUUAAUGAGGCGAACCGGGGGAACUGAAACAUCUAAGUACCCCGAGGAAAAGAAAUCAACCGAGAUUCCCCCAGUAGCGGCGAGCGAACGGGGAGGAGCCCAGAGCCUGAAUCAGCAUGUGUGUUAGUGGAAGCGUCUGGAAAGGCGCGCGAUACAGGGUGACAGCCCCGUACACAAAAGCGCAUGUGCUGUGAGCUCGAUGAGUAGGGCGGGACACGUGGUAUCCUGUCUGAAUAUGGGGGGACCAUCCUCCAAGGCUAAAUACUCCUGACUGACCGAUAGUGAACCAGUACCGUGAGGGAAAGGCGAAAAGAACCCCGGCGAGGGGAGUGAAAAAGAACCUGAAACCGUGUACGUACAAGCAGUGGGAGCNGUGACUGCGUACCUUUUGUAUAAUGGGUCAGCGACUUAUAUUCUGUAGCAAGGUUAACCGAAUAGGGGAGCCGGAGGGAAACCGAGUCUUAAUUGGGCGUUAAGUUGCAGGGUAUAGACCCGAAACCCGGUGAUCUAGCCAUGGGCAGGUUGAAGGUUGGGUAACACUAACUGGAGGACCGAACCGACUAAUGUUGAAAAAUUAGCGGAUGACCUGUGGCUGGGGGUGAAAGGCCAAUCAAACCGGGAGAUAGCUGGUUCUCCCCGAAAGCUAUUUAGGUAGCGCCUCGUGAAUUCAUCUCCGGGGGUAGAGCACUGUUUCGGCUAGGGGGCCAUCCCGGCUUACCAACCCGAUGCAAACUGCGAAUACCGGAGAAUGUUAUCACGGGAGACACACGGCGGGUGCUAACGUCCGUCGUGAAGAGGGAAACAACCCAGACCGCCAGCUAAGGUCCCAAAGUCAUGGUUAAGUGGGAAACGAUGUGGGAAGGCCCAGACAGCCAGGAUGUUGGCUUAGAAGCAGCCAUCAUUUAAAGAAAGCGUAAUAGCUCACUGGUCGAGUCGGCCUGCGCGGAAGAUGUAACGGGGCUAAACCAUGCACCGAAGCUGCGGCAGCGANGUUGGGUAGGGGAGCGUUCUGUAAGCCUGCGAAGGUGGCCUGUGAGGGUUGCUGGAGGUAUCAGAAGUGCGAAUGCUGACAUAAGUAACGAUAAAGCGGGUGAAAAGCCCGCUCGCCGGAAGACCAAGGGUUCCUGUCCAACGUUAAUCGGGGCAGGGUGAGUCGACCCCUAAGGCGAGGCCGAAAGGCGUAGUCGAUGGGAAACGGGUUAAUAUUCCCGUACUUGGUGUUACUGCGAAGGGGGGACGGAGAAGGCUAUGUUGGCCGGGCGACGGUUGUCCCGGUUUAAGCGUGUAGGUGUGUGUUCCAGGUAAAUCCGGUUCACUUUAACACUGAGGCGUGAUGACGAGGCACUACGGUGCUGAAGCAACAAAUGCCCUGCUUCCAGGAAAAGCCUCUAAGCAUCAGGUAACAUCAAAUCGUACCCCAAACCGACACAGGUGGUCAGGUAGAGAAUACCAAGGCGCUUGAGAGAACUCGGGUGAAGGAACUAGGCAAAAUGGUGCCGUAACUUCGGGAGAAGGCACGCUGACANGUAGGUGAAGUGAUUUACUCAUGGAGCUGAAGUCAGUCGAAGAUACCAGCUGGCUGCAACUGUUUAUUAAAAACACAGCACUGUGCAAACACGAAAGUGGACGUAUACGGUGUGACGCCUGCCCGGUGCCGGAAGGUUAAUUGAUGGGGUCAGCGCAAGCGAAGCUCCUGAUCGAAGCCCCGGUAAACGGCGGCCGUAACUAUAACGGUCCUAAGGUAGCGAAAUUCCUUGUCGGGUAAGUUCCGACCUGCACGAAUGGCGUAAUGAUGGCCAGGCUGUCUCCACCCGAGACUCAGUGAAAUUGAACUCGCUGUGAAGAUGCAGUGUACCCGCGGCAAGACGGAAAGACCCCGUGAACCUUUACUAUAGCUUGACACUGAACAUUGAGCCUUGAUGUGUAGGAUAGGUGGGAGGCUUUGAAGCGUGGACGCCAGUCUGCGUGGAGCCGACCUUGAAAUACCACCCUUUAAUGUUUGAUGUUCUAACGUGGACCCGUNAUCCGGGUUGCGGACAGUGUCUGGUGGGUAGUUUGACUGGGGCGGUCUCCUCCUAAAGAGUAACGGAGGAGCACGAAGGUUGGCUAAUCCUGGUCGGACAUCAGGAGGUUAGUGCAAUGGCAUAAGCCAGCUUGACUGCGAGCGUGACGGCGCGAGCAGGUGCGAAAGCAGGUCAUAGUGAUCCGGUGGUUCUGAAUGGAAGGGCCAUCGCUCAACGGAUAAAAGGUACUCCGGGGAUAACAGGCUGAUACCGCCCAAGAGUUCAUAUCGACGGCGGUGUUUGGCACCUCGAUGUCGGCUCAUCACAUCCUGGGGCUGAAGUAGGUCCCAAGGGUAUGGCUGUUCGCCAUUUAAAGUGGUACGCGAGCUGGGUUUAGAACGUCGUGAGACAGUUCGGUCCCUAUCUGCCGUGGGCGCUGGAGAACUGAGGGGGGCUGCUCCUAGUACGAGAGGACCGGAGUGGACGCAUCACUGGUGUUCGGGUUGUCAUGCCAAUGGCACUGCCCGGUAGCUAAAUGCGGAAGAGAUAAGUGCUGAAAGCAUCUAAGCACGAAACUUGCCCCGAGAUGAGUUCUCCCUGAGACUUAGAGUCUCCUGAAGGAACGUUGAAGACGACGACGUUGAUAGGCCGGGUGUGUAAGCGCAGCGAUGCGUUGAGCUAACCGGUACUAAUGAACCGUGAGGCUUAACCUUACAACGCCGAAG